GACGAAGGGGGCUAGCGUUGUUCGGAAUUACUGGGCGUAAAGCGCGUGUAGGCGGUUGCCAAAGUCGGGUGUGAAAGCCUUGAGCUCAACUCAAGAAUUGCACUCGAUACUUGGUGACUAGAGGACCGGAGAGGAUAGUGGAAUUCCCAGUGUAGUGGUGAAAUACGUAGAGAUUGGGAAGAACACCAGUGGCGAAGGCGGCUAUCUGGACGGUUUCUGACGCUAAGACGCGAAAGCGUGGGGAGCAAACAGG
rnacentral:rRNA from 1 species